UGUGGGAGCGGGCUUGCCCGCGAUUCCGGUGGGUCAGUGAAAUCCUUUCUGCUGACACGACGCCAUCGCGGGCAAGCCCGCUCCCACA
rnacentral:misc_RNA from 1 species